rnacentral:rRNA from 1 species
UGGGGAAUCUUGCACAAUGGGGGCAACCCUGAUGCAGCGACGCCGCGUGAGCGAUGAGGCCCUUCGGGGCGUAAAGCUCUUUCGACCGGAACGAUAAUGACGGUACCGGGAGAAGAAGCUGCGGCUAACUACGUGCCAGCAGCCGCGGUAAUACGUAGGCAGCAAGCGUUGUUCGGAGUUACUGGGCGUAAAGAGUGCGUAGGCGGUUUUCUAAGUUCGGUGUGAAAUCUCCCGGCUUAACUGGGAGGGUGCGCCGAAGACUGGGAAGCUGGAGUGUGGGAAAGGCAGGCGGAAUUCCUGGUGUAGCGGUGAAAUGCGUAGAUAUCAGGAGGAACACCGGCGGUGUAGACGGCUUGCUAGACCAUAACUGACGCUGAGGCACGAAAGCGUGGGUAGCAAACA